rnacentral:rRNA from 1 species
AUUGAACGUUGGCGGCAUGCCUUACACAUGCAAGUCGAACGGUAACAGGUUAAGCUGACGAGUGGCGAACGGGUGAGUAAUGUAUCGGAACGUGCCCAGUCGUGGGGGAUAACUACUCGAAAGAGUGGAUAAUCACGCAUACGACCUGAGGGUGAAAGCGGGGGACCGUAAGGCCUCGCGCGAGUGGAGCGGCCGAUAUCAGAUUAGCUAGUUGGUGGGGUAAAAGCCCACCAAUGCGACGAUCUGUAGCUGGUCUGAGAGGACGACCAGCCACACUGGGACUGAGACACGGCCCAGACUCCUACGGGAGGCAGCAGUGGGGAAUUUUGGACAAUGGACGCAAGUCUGAUCCAGCCAUGCCGCGUGCGGGAAGAAGGCCUUCGGGUUGUAAACCGCUUUUGUCAGGGAAGAAACGAGUUUCUCUAAUACAGAGACUUAAUGACGGUACCUGAAGAAUAAGCACCGGCUAACUACGUGCCAGCCGCCGCGGUAAAAC